rnacentral:piRNA from 1 species
UAAAACACAGUGUUGGAGUAAAGGCAAGAC